AACAAAAUGAUGAGGUUUUUUUUGAGGUGAAUAUAUGAUGUGCCUAACUCAUAUUGUGCUAUGCCUUCAAAGUUCUCUGAUUGUU
rfam:Cucumis sativus cultivar 9930 chromosome 5, whole genome shotgun sequence.